rnacentral:ncRNA from 1 species
AUAAUGAUACUCCCGUACAGCCACAGACAUCGCAAUGGGUACGGCUUGGAGAGAUCCUCGGAGGGGUGGAAUUCCCGUG